CACGGGGGUUGCGAGCGUUGUCCGGAAUUACUAGGCGUAAAGGGCAGGCAGGCGGAUCCAUAAGUUUAUCGUUUAAGGCGUCGGCUUAACCGGCGUAGGGCGGUAGAUACUGUGGAUCUGGAAUGCGGUUGGGGAAGACAGAAUUCCUGGUGUAGCGGUGGAAUGCGCAGAGAUCAGGAGGAAUACCGAAGGCGAAGGCAGUCUUCCAAGCCGUUAUUGACGCUCAACUGCGAAGGUGUGGGUACCAAACAGGAUUAGAUACCCCCGUAGUCCCUGAGCGGGCU
rnacentral:rRNA from 1 species